rnacentral:misc_RNA from 1 species
UAACCAAUCCAGCUUGCUGGGUCUUGGGUACCGCCUCCUGGCGGGCCUUAAAAUCAGUGGCGGUACGGCCGGGCUCUGAGCGUAGUAAAUCUUCUCGCUACAGGGUCCCGGGCGGCACUGGCCAGCAACCCCCAAUCUUUCACA